UACGUAGGGGGCAAGCGUUGUCCGGAAUCAUUGGGCGUAAAGCGCGUGUAGGCGGCCAGUUAAGUCCGCUGUGAAAUCUCGAGGCUCAACUUCGAGCUGUCGGUGGAAACUGUCUGGCUAGAGUCCGGAAGAGGAGAAUGGAAUUCCUGGUGUAGCGGUGAAAUGCGCAGAUAUCAGGAGGAACACCUAUUGCGAAGGCAGCUCGCUGGGACGUUACUGACGCUGAGACGCGAAAGCGUGGGGAGCAAACAGG
rnacentral:rRNA from 1 species